rnacentral:SRP_RNA from 1 species
CUGUGCUAGGCGGGGAGAUAGCGGUUCCCUGCAGCCCGCAAUCCGCUACAGCGGGGCCGAAUACCCAUACAGAGGAUUAGUCUCAUCCGGAAAGCCGGUCUGAUUUCAGUGUUGACGGCCGGGUCCCGUGCGUCGAAGGCCCGCCCAACCCCGUCAGGUCCGGAAGGAAGCAGCGGCAAGUGGAGCAGUCGAGCGCCGCGGGGCUGCCCGACCAGAGUUGAAAUUUUUCUACGCUUCCGGAAUCGAGCUGUCCGAAUAUGGGGCACAG